ACAUACACGCACACGAACGCACACUUAGUGGAAUGUAUUAUAGGUAGAAUGUUAAAACUGCAGUUUGCAAAAUUGGGUGUCGAAUGUUUCACGGGAUAGUUGUAUAAUCAACGAGAUACAGGAUGAAUGCGGAUGCUAAAAAAUUGAUAGCUGUCCCUCGAAAUCGCUUCAGAGCCCUUUGUGUGUUUUUUUGGACAAAAUUCAGAUUCGUUUUUCGUGUGAUUGAUUGUGCGCAGCAGUAGAUCCAAACAGAGAUAGAAUCUGGUCCACAAAGUGGUUUGCCGAGGAUGUGGGCACGUUGUGUGUCAUAAAUUUUUCCCCUCCCUCAGCUCCAUGCGUAACGGUACAAAUGCAGAUCGAAGUAGAAAAAACAACAAUUACAAAUAAAAAGCAAGUAUAAUACUACUUUGAGAAGUUUGCUUUCGGGAGGGUUUUGUUCUCUUUGAAAGGUUUCUCAGAGCAACGGAAGGCAUCUGCAUCCUGAUUUAUGACGUCCGAAAAUUCGAUGAACAUUGCAGAAGGGUAAUGAGAAAAGGAAAGGAGUGUAAGCUGAUAAGGAUAUAGGAAGGUAAAAGAAUGUUUGAAAGCAAAAGAAGCAGAGAGAGGAAAAGAAAAAUAUGAAGAAGAAGGGAAAUAUUAGGAAUCGAAGGGAACCCAAUGUGCAUGAAAGUUACGACUUGGAGCAUUGCCACCUCAGCAGCAGCAGAUCAGUUUUUGACUGAGUCAGCACUUUAAUUCGCAGCCUCCACAAUCUGUCUAUAUUUCAAGCUUCUUUUCAUCGUGUUCAUGUGGCACAAUAAAUAGAUAGAUGGAUAAUAAAGUGUGUUGUUUUAUUUAUCUUUUUAACAAAACAUGAAUGCUCAUCACUCUCCAGGUUCAAACACAAGACAUGCCUAAGGACAUGCACCCUUCCAAUUUUUAUUCUGCGUAAGUAAAUAAAAAAAUAGACAAAAAGGAUGCCAUUAUACUAGUUUCUUUGAAGAACGUAGCUCUAUUUUAAAUUAUGGAUUUUGUAAAAUUGUUUUAUUUGGCCUCAAAUAUCUCUAGCUUCCUUGAUGUCUUCUCUCUUGAAAACCAAAAUUUUAAUAUGUUCGUUUGUUGUUUGUGCUUA
rnacentral:lncRNA from 1 species